CAUCCUACUACUGCGGACUGUUCAAUCAAGUCAGACCAGACUAUGGCUGCUCCUGGGAAGCAGAGUUUAUAACAGGUCGAGCACUGGGUGAUCCCCAUAUCAAGACCUUGGAUGGACUUGAAUAUGCCCUAAAUUAUCUGGGAGAAAAGAUUUUACUGUACAUUGUGGAACAGAAGUUUAUGGUACAAGCCAGAACCAAACAGGUGGUCAACAGUAAGGGAGAUAAAACCAAUGCCACCAUUUUUGUUGCUUUUGCAGCUAAAGAAGGGAAUUAUUCCUCAUUUCAAGUAGAACUGGAUGCCCAAGAGUUAGGAAUGAUUAUAACAGCAAAUGGGCAUGACUGUACUCAAGACUUUAACAAGAUCAAAGACUACAAUGAGACCUUUGAUAAUAACAGUA
rnacentral:sRNA from 1 species